UACGAAGGGUGCAAGCGUUACUCGGAAUUACUGGGCGUAAAGGGUGCGUAGGCGGUUCGUUAAGUCUGUCGUGAAAUCCCCGGGCUCAACCUGGGAAUGGCGAUGGAUACUGGCGAGCUAGAGUGUGUCAGAGGAUGGUGGAAUUCCCGGUGUAGCGGUGAAAUGCGUAGAUAUCGGGAGGAACAUCAGUGGCGAAGGCGGCCAUCUGGGACAACACUGACGCUGAAGCACGAAAGCGUGGGGAGCAAACAGG
rnacentral:rRNA from 1 species